rnacentral:rRNA from 1 species
UACGGGGGGGGCAAGCGUUGUUCGGAAUUACUGGGCGUAAAGGGUUUGUAGGUGGCCUGCUAAGUCAGACGUGAAAUCCCUCAGCUUAACUGGGGAACUGCGUCUGAGACUGGUAGGCUCGAGGACAGGAGAGGAACGCGGAAUUCCAGGUGUAGCGGUGAAAUGCGUAGAUAUCUGGAGGAACACCGGUGGCGAAGGCGGCGUUCUGGGACUGUUUCUGACACUGAAAAACGAAAGCCAGGGGAGCAAACGGG